UCCCUGGAGGAUUAGUGGUUAGGCCAUGGUGUUCUCACCACCGCGGCCCAGGUUCGACUCCCAGCCAGGGAA
rnacentral:tRNA from 1 species